rnacentral:lncRNA from 10 species
AAACUAUUGGCUUCAAUAUUGAGUAACAAUGUAUUGACUUGUUGGCUUAAUUUGUGUAAAGAUUGAAUUUGUAUAAAUAGCCAAAGCCAUGCACUUGUUUGUAGACGUUGCUAAGGGCAAAUGGGAAGCUGGUCUAAAUAUGAACAUCUUCAAGACUUUGUUAAUAUGCACAGUGUUUUCACACAUGAAAACAGAAAUUCAGAUUUUAAUUAACCCCGUGAAUUUGCCUGAAAAUAUGCUUCCUGGAACACAGCUAAGUCGUGCUUAUGAUAAAGAUGUGGCUGGAAAGGGAGAUGUCUACCGUUUUCUGAAUAAAACAAAAGAUUUUGUCAUCGAUGCAAGUUCUGGUGCCAUCACUGCUACCAAAAUUUCUAAUUAUGAAACAGAUCCAAUAAGGUUUCUUCUGAUAGUUGAUACUAGGCUCUCUAGACAUGUUUUGACCAUUAUUAUUAUUGAUGUUCCUGAAUCUCCAAACUACUGCUGA